UUUCUGACUUGAGACGAAUCAGAGCCCUGUGCUGCCUGUUUUCCAGUGACUGAGUUGUGUCGUAUAUUCCAUUUGGUUUUCACUUGUGCAGAGCAGGAUUCUAAAUUUAAUGGAUAGAUUUCAGUUCUGGGAACUGCAAAUAAAAAAUAUUAAAAAUCAAAGAAUAAAAUAAAACUAAAGACAGGACAGGAAAUGAGAAAUGUAGUUGGAAAUGAUGUGAAUGAAGCUGAAGGAAGAGAAAUUUCCAGGACUUAGCACAUAGUCGAUAGUCAAUACUGUCAAACGCUUCCAAGAGAAGCAGGCAGAGAAGCGAACGUGAGUUCCUUCCCCGGAAGUGGGCACGUCACAGAGAAGCUGCUCACCGGGAAGAAAGAACCUCGGAGAAAGCCACAUGCCUCUGCUCUUUUCCUGAUUCUGCCAUGUGCCAAACGGUCCUCGGCCUCAUGGUCCUUUGUCUCCUGGGUGCAGGCUUCCUUGAAGCAGAAGUCACCCAGACUCCCGGGCACCUGGUCAAAGGGACAGGACAGAAAGCGGAAAUGUACUGUGUCCCAAGAAAGGGACACAAUUAUGUUUGCUGGUAUCAACAGAUCCCAGCAAAAGAGUUCAAG